GCAGGCACCAUCAUUGUAAUGGAGAAUGCAGGGGCAGCUCCCUACACAGUGUGGCAUUGAUGUGUGUAAACAGACAAGAUAAUGGGAGCUGAAGGUCCCAUGCAGGUUCCCCAGCUGCCAGUCCAUAGUCCAUGAGCUCCCACUAGCUCAGGUCAACUGUCUCUGUGGUUUUCCCCAUCGAAGCAAAUGCAGUGACCCACAGCCAAGCACUGGGCUGAACUCCUGGAGUUCAGUUGAAGAAAGGAAGGAUCUUAUGAACAAGGUUUGUUUCCUGAAAAAGCAGCAGACGGGAGGAAGAGGAGGACAUAGGCCUAAGACACAGAACAAGUCAGCCUGGAUUCCAGACCACCAGGUGCUAAACUGGGAAUCUGCGCCAGAGCCUAGGAGGGAAAGAACUGAGCAGCAGCUGCUGGCUCUCACUCCCCGCCCCGCGCAAGGCCAACCCCCGCCGGAUCGCUCCGGAUCGCUCUGUCCCAAGGCCAGCCAUCUGGACCAGCAGAAGAUAAGGCCGUUUCGCCUGACUAUUAAACCUUGAGAAAAUGCUGAUUUGAUGCUUUUCGCUUCUGUAC
rnacentral:lncRNA from 1 species